rnacentral:rRNA from 1 species
GGAUCAAUAAUGCUGGUCGUGCCAUUGGUACGUACUAGUAUUGUUGGUUUCUUCCUUCUGAUGAAUCAUGAUGUCAUUAAUUUGAUGUCAUGGGGAAUCAGGACUGUUACUUUGAAAAAAUUAGAGUGUUUAAAGCAGGCUCGCGCUUGAAUACAUUAGCAUGGAAUAAUGAAAUAGGACGUUUGAUUCUAUUUUGUUGGUUUCUAGGAUUGACGUAAU